rnacentral:rRNA from 1 species
UGAAAUGGCCAAAACCUUCUUGCCAAAGCCUGAUCUCAAAAGCUAAGUAGGGCCAGGCCUGGUUAGUACUUGGAUGUGAUUACACUGAGAAUUGUAGGUGCCACAG